rnacentral:rRNA from 2 species
AGUCGACGAACUCUGGUAUUGAUUGGUGCUUGCAUCAUGAUUUACAUUUGAGUGAGUGGCGAACUGGUGAGUAACACGUGGGAAACCUGCCCAGAAGCGGGGGAUAACACCUGGAAACAGAUGCUAAUACCGCAUAACAACUUGGACCGCAUGGUCCGAGCUUGAAAGAUGGCUUCGGCUAUCACUUUUGGAUGGUCCCGCGGCGUAUUAGCUAGAUGGUGGGGUAACGGCUCACCAUGGCAAUGAUACGUAGCCGACCUGAGAGGGUAAUCGGCCACAUUGGGACUGAGACACGGCCCAAACUCCUACGGGAGGCAGCAGUAGGGAAUCUUCCACAAUGGACGAAAGUCUGAUGGAGCAACGCCGCGUGAGUGAAGAAGGGUUUCGGCUCGUAAAACUCUGUUGUUAAAGAAGAACAUAUCUGAGAGUAACUGUUCAGGUAUUGACGGUAUUUAACCAGAAAGCCACGGCUAACUACGUGCCAGCAGCCGCGGUAAUACGUAGGUGGCAAGCGUUGUCCGGAUUUAUUGGGCGUAAAGCGAGCGCAGGCGGUUUUUUAAGUCUGAUGUGAAAGCCUUCGGCUCAACCGAAGAAGUGCAUCGGAAACUGGGAAACUUGAGUGCAGAAGAGGACAGUGGAACUCCAUGUGUAGCGGUGAAAUGCGUAGAUAUAUGGAAGAACACCAGUGGCGAAGGCGGCUGUCUGGUCUGUAACUGACGCUGAGGCUCGAAAGUAUGGGUAGCAAACAGGAUUAGAUACCCUGGUAGUCCAUACCGUAAACGAUGAAUGCUAAGUGUUGGAGGGUUUCCGCCCUUCAGUGCUGCAGCUAACGCAUUAAGCAUUCCGCCUGGGGAGUACGGCCGCAAGGCUGAAACUCAAAGGAAUUGACGGGGGCCCGCACAAGCGGUGGAGCAUGUGGUUUAAUUCGAAGCUACGCGAAGAACCUUACCAGGUCUUGACAUACUAUGCAAAUCUAAGAGAUUAGACGUUCCCUUCGGGGACAUGGAUACAGGUGGUGCAUGGUUGUCGUCAGCUCGUGUCGUGAGAUGUUGGGUUAAGUCCCGCAACGAGCGCAACCCUUAUUAUCAGUUGCCAGCAUUAAGUUGGGCACUCUGGUGAGACUGCCGGUGACAAACCGGAGGAAGGUGGGGAUGACGUCAAAUCAUCAUGCCCCUUAUGACCUGGGCUACACACGUGCUACAAUGGAUGGUACAACGAGUUGCGAACUCGCGAGAGUAAGCUAAUCUCUUAAAGCCAUUCUCAGUUCGGAUUGUAGGCUGCAACUCGCCUACAUGAAGUCGGAAUCGCUAGUAAUCGCGGAUCAGCAUGCCGCGGUGAAUACGUUCCCGGGCCUUGUACACACCGCCCGUCACACCAUGAGAGUUUGUAACACCCAAAGUCGGUGG